UACGUAGGGGGCAAGCGUUGUCCGGAUUCAUUGGGCGUAAAGAGCGUGUAGGCGGCCAGGUAGGUCGGUUGUGAAAACUGGAGGCUCAACCUUCAGAGGUCGACCGAAACCAUCUGGCUAGAGUCCGGGAGAGGAGAGUGGAAUUCCUGGUGUAGCGGUGAAAUGCGCAGAUAUCAGGAAGAACACCCGUGGCGAAAGCGGCUCUCUGGAACGGUACUGACGCUGAGACGCGAAAGCGUGGGGAGCGAACCGG
rnacentral:rRNA from 1 species